GCGCGGCCAUGGGCACCCGCGGGCCCUCCGCGCUGGUGGACACCACGCCCGCCAAGACCAUCGUGGUGUACCGCAACGGGGACCCGUUCUACGUGGGCAAGAAGUUCGUGCUGUCGCGGCGCCGCGCGGCCACCUUCGAGGCGCUGCUGGAGCAGCUCACGGAGCAGGUGGACGUCCCGUUCGGCGUGCGCCGCCUCUUCACGCCCACGCGUGGGCACCGGGUGCUGGAGCUGGACGCGCUGCAGGCGGGCGGCAAGUACGUGGCGGCGGGCCGCGAGCGCUUCAAGGAGCUCGAUUAUAUUCAUAUAGUUCCCCGAAAACCUGCAAAGAUAAGGAAGUUGAAGGAAAUCAAACCGGUGGUGCAUUGUGAUAUAAAUGUGCCUUCCAAGUGGCAAACAUAUCAUCGUAUAUCUCGACAUAUAAAUGUUUUUACAAAUGGAAGAUUAUUUAUUCCACCUGCAAAAAUCAUUAUACCCAAAUUUAGUCUGUCCGACUGGGACAUCGUGCUGGCCACGAUCGGAGAAAAAGUCUUCCCUCUAGGAGGCGUUCGGAAAUUAUUUACAAUGAAUGGGCAUCUUUUGGGCGACUCAAAGGAUUUGCAAGACAAUCACUUUUAUGUUGCUGCGGGACUGGAGACCUUCAAAUAUUUUCCUUACUGGAAGUCUCCAAGGGUGCCCAGUGAGGUCCAACAAAGAUAUGCGAAUGUUGAAAAAAACUCACAGAGAAAGAAAAAAGUAGAUUCCAAAGGAAAAGAACCUUGUCACUAUGAUGACAUACCCCCCAAAACACAGGAUUCUGUUUAUUAUGCCAAAGAAGAAAAGAAGAAAACAUUGGCAGAACCUUUAGUCCAAAGAGGAGCAGGGUCCGGGACCUUCAUGGAGACAGAGACAAAAGCAGACGGGGCUAAAAUCGAGGCCACCACACUGAACACCUUGGCAGAUGCAAACGGGAAAGAAGGUGACGUGUAUAAAGCACUGACUCCUAGCAAGGAAACCGAAGGGGCGCUGGACGUCAAAGAGGACCACCAUGUGCAGCUGGAGGUGCCUGUGGACCAGAGACAAGCUGAGAUAGUUAAAGAAGAUGAAGAGAUACAUGAGAACACCCCUGAUUUUGAGGGCAACAAGGAUAAAGAAGAUGCAAGGCUUUGUGAAGACAUUGAAAGAAAGAGUUAGAAAACCAGCUUGGAGGAAAAGAAGCAAAUCACGGCCUUUCACAUAGGUGGAUGGAUCCUUGGGAAAGGCAAGUAAGAACCAGGAGUGGAAAGUGCUGUAGGGCGGUGCGUGGCUGGCGUCUGAAGGUGCAGCAUUUAUGACUGCCUGGAAAACCUGGAAAACAUGUGUGAAUUGUCUGCCAGCUACACCUGUAGUCACUCACUUAGGUUUUCCAGGCAGUCAUAAAAGCUGCACCUUCAGAUGCCAGCCAUGAAGCUAAGGAUGAAUGCGCUUGCCUGGCGAGCACAAGGGAGUGGGGGACUCACAGCCCUGGGGAAAGCGGAUGUGUAACUGGGCCGGGGACCCCACCUGGCAGCGGAAGGUGCUUCCCUCUAGAAGCGCUGCUCUCCCAGCAGGACUGAGUUCUCAUCCUAAGUUGGUAGAUGACUAAGUGAUGAUAGUGGUUUUUGUCUGAGUGUGUCAAGUUUCAUUUAUUUAGUCUUUAGUUUUCCUAGACUCCUCAGCACUCCACAAAGGACGUGAGCCCUGAGUGAUGACACUUGGGGAGGUCAACCUAACCGAAGCCAGCGUCUGCACACCUCGGGGACUUGAAUCGGCUCCGCCUGGCUUUGGCUGCUGCAGUACCUGCCAGAUGUGUGGCUUCGGGAACACUCCUUAAAACCUGAUUGCCUCAGUUUCCUCCUCUAUUCAAAGUUUAUCUGUCCACUUGUUUAUAACAAAAUCAACCUCCAGGAGAGAAUAUGUGUAAAGUCUGCUUAGCGUUACUACUUUUAUUCUUAUUAUUAGCAAUAGCUGACUUGCAAAAUAUUCCUGACCAUAUUAUGGGGGAGGGGAACACGUGUGAGUUGUGUCCUGCCCAUGCACGGAGCCUGUGGUAUGGGUGUGUCCCCAUCGUGCAGUGAGACUCUCCUGCAGAUGUGUCCCCCAGUGCACGGAGCCUUUCAUGUGGGUGUGUCCUGCCCGGGCACGGAGCCUUUGGUGUGGGUGUGUCCUGCUCGGGCACGGAGCCUCUCGUGUGGGUGUGUCCUGCCCGGGCACAGAGCCUCUCGUGUGGGUGUGUCCUGCCCGGGCACGGAGCCUCUCGUGUGGGUGUGUCCUGCCCGGGCACGGAGCCUCUCGUGUGGGUGUGUCCUGCCCGGGCACGGAGCCUCUCGUGUGGGUGUGUCCUGCCCGGGCACGGAGCCUCUCGUGUGGGUGUGUCCUGCCCAGGCACGGAGCCUUUGGUGUGGGUGUGUCCCCCCAUUCACAGAGUCUCUCGUGUAGGUGUGUCCCGCCCGAGCCCGGAGCCUCUGGUAUGGGUGUGUCCUGCCCAUGCAGGGAGCCUCUGGUGCGGGUGUGUUCCGCCCAUGUAUGGAGCCUCUGUGUGGAUGUACAGGCAGCCUUGUGGCUGGAAGACCACUAAAUUCCUGUAAUAGCUUUCCCACUAACUUGCUAGGUGUCCUUUGUUAAGUAACUUGAUUGAUUCAAUCAACAAUCAUUUUACAUGUUUAUAGGUUUGCUUACUUUACUUUUCAAGAAUUAAUGAGACAAUGGUUUGGAAAGUUCCUGAAAAGUAUAGCAUAUCUAUGUUGAAAAUGUGUUUAUAUUAUUUGUAUUUGAGCUAGAUAAUGAAAGUUUUUGUUCCUCAGCUUGACAUUAGACACUUGGUUUUCCCCACUCUUAACUCCCGUGUUAAAAUCAGUGUAAUCCAUUCUGUUAUGUGGCGUUCCAUCCUCUGGAACUCGCUACAGCCAACCUAACCGCACAUGAUUGGGAAUCAAUAAUGUGUGUUCAUGGCGAUGUCCCUGUAAGCAUAAAUCAUAUCUGUUUUGAAUGCCAAGUAAUUCUUUGGAGCAUUUAUCACUUGUUUGGCAUACAUGUUACUCUUUUAAAGGGAAUAUUUUACCAAACACAAUGGAAUGAAAAGAAUGCGAAUCUGGCCGCAUGCAAACUGUGCGCAGAUAGUUUCAUUUCUCCGACCCUUGGUUUCCUUAUCUGUGAAACAGAUAAUUUCCAACUUGCGAAAUUGUAAUAUGAACAUCUCGGUCACUUCCGACGGCCAAGCAGCACGACAGGAUGCUGUAGUGACAAGUUCCAGGUGCAACGUGUAUGAGAAGAUAAUUGUGACCUUUUUUUUCCCAAAGGCUUCAAAAAUCAAGUAUAAUUUUGAUCAACAAUAAAUGUGCUAUUAGUUAAAAAAAAGUACCUAAGAUUUUUAGUAUUUAUAGUCAUCGAUUUGUGAAAUGGUCUAUCACCUUUUAAAGGAGUACUUUGUAAGUUUCAUGACAGUGUUAUGCAUGAUCAUAUCAAAGCAAAGUCCUUUUAAAUGCAUAUUGGAGGCAACAUUCAAAGCCUGUUAACAUCCUUUGUUAAAUGUUUUUCUUCCUUUCUUCUGUUUCCCUUCCUUCCUUCUUUUCCUCUCUUCCUUCCCUCCCUUCCUCCCUC